GACGAGGGGUCCAAGCGUUGUUCGGAAUCAUUGGGCGUAAAGCGGGUGUAGGUGGCUUUGUAAGUCAGGAGUGAAAUCCCCGAGCUUAACUUGGGAAGUGCUUUUGAAACUGCAGGGCUUGAGUGUGGGAGAGGAUCGUGGAAUUCCAGGUGUAGUGGUGAAAGUACGUAGAUAUCUGGAGGAACACCGGUGGCGAAGGCGGCGAUCUGGCCCAACACUGACACUGAGACCCGAAAGCGUGGGGAGUCAAACAGGA
rnacentral:rRNA from 1 species